GGGUUGUGAGGUUAAGCGACUAAGCGUACACGGUGGAUGCCCUGGCAGUCAGAGGCGAUGAAGGACGUGCUAAUCUGCGAAAAGCGCCGGCGAGGUGAUAUGAACCUUUGACCCGGCGAUGUCCGAAUGGGGAAACCCAGUGUGAUUCGUCACACUAUCGUUAACUGAAUACAUAGGUUAACGAGGCGAACCGGGGGAACUGAAACAUCUAAGUACCCCGAGGAAAAGAAAUCAACCGAGAUUCCCCCAGUAGCGGCGAGCGAACGGGGAGCAGCCCAGAGUCUGAAUCAGCUUGUGUGUUAGUGGAAGCGUCUGGAAAGUCGCACGGUACAGGGUGACAGUCCCGUACACGAAAGCACACAGGUUGUGAACUCGAAGAGUAGGGCGGGACACGUGGUAUCCUGUCUGAAUAUGGGGGGACCAUCCUCCAAGGCUAAAUACUCCUGACUGACCGAUAGUGAACCAGUACCGUGAGGGAAAGGCGAAAAGAACCCCGGCGAGGGGAGUGAAAAAGAACCUGAAACCGUGUACGUACAAGCAGUGGGAGCACCCUAGUGGUGUGACUGCGUACCUUUUGUAUAAUGGGUCAGCGACUUAUAUUCUGUAGCAAGGUUAACCGUAUAGGGGAGCCGAAGGGAAACCGAGUCUUAACUGGGCGUUAAGUUGCAGGGUAUAGACCCGAAACCCGGUGAUCUAGCCAUGGGCAGGUUGAAGGUUGGGUAACACUAACUGGAGGACCGAACCGACUAAUGUUGAAAAAUUAGCGGAUGACUUGUGGCUGGGGGUGAAAGGCCAAUCAAACCGGGAGAUAGCUGGUUCUCCCCGAAAGCUAUUUAGGUAGCGCCUCGUGAACUCAUCUUCGGGGGUAGAGCACUGUUUCGGCUAGGGGGCCAUCCCGGCUUACCAACCCGAUGCAAACUACGAAUACCGAAGAAUGUUAUCACGGGAGACACACGGCGGGUGCUAACGUCCGUCGUGAAGAGGGAAACAACCCAGACCGCCAGCUAAGGUCCCAAAGUCAUGGUUAAGUGGGAAACGAUGUGGGAAGGCACAGACAGCCAGGAUGUUGGCUUAGAAGCAGCCAUCAUUUAAAGAAAGCGUAAUAGCUCACUGGUCGAGUCGGCCUGCGCGGAAGAUGUAACGGGGCUAAACCAUGCACCGAAGCUGCGGCAGCGACGCUUAGGCGUUGUUGGGUAGGGGAGCGUUCUGUAAGCCGUUGAAGGUGUGCUGUGAGGCAUGCUGGAGGUAUCAGAAGUGCGAAUGCUGACAUAAGUAACGAUAAAGCGGGUGAAAAGCCCGCUCGCCGGAAGACCAAGGGUUCCUGUCCAACGUUAAUCGGGGCAGGGUGAGUCGACCCCUAAGGCGAGGCCGAAAGGCGUAGUCGAUGGGAAACAGGUUAAUAUUCCUGUACUUGGUGUUACUGCGAAGGGGGGACGGAGAAGGCUAUGUUAGCCGGGCGACGGUUGUCCCGGUUUAAGCAUGUAGGCGGAGGUUCCAGGUAAAUCCGGUACCUUUUAACGCUGAGGUGUGAUGACGAGGCACUACGGUGCUGAAGUAACAAAUGCCCUGCUUCCAGGAAAAGCCUCUAAGCAUCAGGUAACAUCAAAUCGUACCCCAAACCGACACAGGUGGUCAGGUAGAGAAUACCAAGGCGCUUGAGAGAACUCGGGUGAAGGAACUAGGCAAAAUGGUGCCGUAACUUCGGGAGAAGGCACGCUGAUAUGUAGGUGAAGCCCCUGCGGGUGGAGCUGAAAUCAGUCGAAGAUACCAGCUGGCUGCAACUGUUUAUUAAAAACACAGCACUGUGCAAACACGAAAGUGGACGUAUACGGUGUGACGCCUGCCCGGUGCCGGAAGGUUAAUUGAUGGGGUUAGCGGCAACGCGAAGCUCUUGAUCGAAGCCCCGGUAAACGGCGGCCGUAACUAUAACGGUCCUAAGGUAGCGAAAUUCCUUGUCGGGUAAGUUCCGACCUGCACGAAUGGCGUAAUGAUGGCCAGGCUGUCUCCACCCGAGACUCAGUGAAAUUGAACUCGCUGUGAAGAUGCAGUGUACCCGCGGCAAGACGGAAAGACCCCGUGAACCUUUACUAUAGCUUGACACUGAACACUGGUCCUUGAUGUGUAGGAUAGGUGGGAGGCUUUGAAGCGUGGACGCCAGUCUGCGUGGAGCCAACCUUGAAAUACCACCCUUUAAUGGCUGGUGUUCUAACGUAGACCCGUGAUCCGGGUUGCGGACAGUGUCUGGUGGGUAGUUUGACUGGGGCGGUCUCCUCCCAAAGAGUAACGGAGGAGCACGAAGGUUAGCUAAUCCUGGUCGGACAUCAGGAGGUUAGUGCAAUGGCAUAAGCUAGCUUGACUGCGAGAGUGACGGCUCGAGCAGGUGCGAAAGCAGGUCAUAGUGAUCCGGUGGUUCUGAAUGGAAGGGCCAUCGCUCAACGGAUAAAAGGUACUCCGGGGAUAACAGGCUGAUACCGCCCAAGAGUUCAUAUCGACGGCGGUGUUUGGCACCUCGAUGUCGGCUCAUCACAUCCUGGGGCUGAAGUAGGUCCCAAGGGUAUGGCUGUUCGCCAUUUAAAGUGGUACGCGAGCUGGGUUUAGAACGUCGUGAGACAGUUCGGUCCCUAUCUGCCGUGGGCGCUGGAGAAUUGAGGGGGGCUGCUCCUAGUACGAGAGGACCGGAGUGGACGCAUCACUGGUGUUCGGGUUGUCAUGCCAAUGGCACUGCCCGGUAGCUAAAUGCGGAAAAGAUAAGUGCUGAAAGCAUCUAAGCACGAAACUUGCCCCGAGAUGAGUUCUCCCUGACUCCUUGAGAGUCCUGAAGGAACGUUGAAGACUACGACGUUGAUAGGUCGGGUGUGUAAGCGCAGCGAUGCGUUGAGCUAACCGAUACUAAUGAACCGUGAGGCUUAACCUUACAACGCCGAAGCUGUU
rnacentral:rRNA from 1 species